GACGAACGCUGGCGGCGUGCUUAACACAUGCAAGUCGAACGGUAAGGCCCUUCGGGGUACACGAGUGGCGAACGGGUGAGUAACACGUGGGUGAUCUGCCCUGCACUUCGGGAUAAGCCUGGGAAACUGGGUCUAAUACCGGAUAGGACCACUGCCUGCAUGGGUGGCGGUGGAAAGCUUUUGCGGUGUGGGAUGGGCCCGCGGCCUAUCAGCUUGUUGGUGGGGUGAUGGCCUACCAAGGCGACGACGGGUAGCCGGCCUGAGAGGGUGACCGGCCACACUGGGACUGAGAUACGGCCCAGACUCCUACGGGAGGCAGCAGUGGGGAAUAUUGCACAGUGGGCGCAAGCCUGAUGCAGCGACGCCGCGUGAGGGAUGACGGCCUUCGGGUUGUAAACCUCUUUCAGCACCGACGAAGCGCAAGUGACGGUAGGUGCAGAGGAAGGACCGGCCAACUACGUGCCAGCAGCCGCCGUAA
rnacentral:rRNA from 1 species